UGGGGAAUAUUGCACAAUGGGCGAAAGCCUGAUGCAGCAACGCCGCGUGAGUGAUGAAGGUCUUCGGAUUGUAAAGCUCUGUCUUUUGGGACGAUAAUGACGGUACCAAAGGAGGAAGCCACGGCUAACUACGUGCCAGCAGCCGCGGUAAUACGUAGGUGGCAAGCGUUGUCCGGAUUUACUGGGCGUAAAGGGUGCGUAGGCGGAUGUUUAAGUGAGAUGUGAAAUACCCGGGCUUAACUUGGGUGCUGCAUUUCAAACUGGAUAUCUAGAGUGCAGGAGAGGAGAAUGGAAUUCCUAGUGUAGCGGUGAAAUGCGUAGAGAUUAGGAAGAACACCAGUGGCGAAGGCGAUUCUCUGGACUGUAACUGACGCUGAGGCACGAAAGCGUGGGUAGCAAACAGGAUUAGAUACCCUGGUAGUCCACGCCGUAAAACGAUGAGUACUAGGUGUAGGAGGUAUCGACCCCUUCUGUGCCGCAGUAAAACACAUUAAAGUACUCCGCCUGGGAAGUACGAUCGCAAGAUU
rnacentral:rRNA from 1 species